UUUCAUUUCUUCCUCUUCCACCUUCUGCCUCUCUCUCUCGCGAUAAGCGAUUCUAAAACGAAAAAAUCUUUAUCUCUCAUCAUAAUCACAUUUCUUCUUCAUCUUCGUCAUCUACGUCAUCUACGUCAUCUACAGUUCUUCUCUCUGUCAAACAUGGUGUAGAGAUCGACCUUUUAGAUGUCCAAACCCUAAUCUCGAGUUUUAGACGGGUAGUGUCUUCUUCUUUUCUUUGUCUUAUCCUAUGUCUCUCUUUUUGAGAUCUUGCCUUACAAUAAGCUAUUGGUACUCCGAUCCCUAAUUGAAAUUUUCAAUCCCGGAGGAUUUUGGUUAUGCUGAGAGGUGAAGCCGAGGAAAGCGACAUAGAAGAAGAAACUAAGAGGUGGAUUCAUCGGCAAAGUCGGAGCAACAAAGAAUCUUUUCGACAGAUGCGUCGGAGCACCCGCAACGAUGAAGCUCUUCUUGGUGGUACGGGUGAGAAUUGAUUAUACUACAAUACCAUCGAGAGGCUUUUGACUGGUCUUGCGUUUUGGAUCUGAGUUCGGGAUUUCGUAUUAAGUCCUUGCUCUUUAUUGAGUUCUGAUUUCGUUUCAAAUUUGCUUAUACGCUGUUUGUAGCUGCUUUGUUGUGAGUGAUUUGUUUGCUAAUAGAUUAUUUUGAACUUGACUUCUCUUAGCUUCCGACUAAUAAUGGAUUAUUUCUGGCAGAAGGAGAUUCAGGUAGUGUUAAGAUUGAUGAAAUUCUCAGAUUUGUUAUUUUUGAAAAUUGAGUUACUUUUACAGGGUUUAGAGACAUCACCUCGACAAGUAAAGAAACAUCCUCACAAACAAGAACUUCUUUAAGACCAAGAUAACAAGGAGCCAAUUGAAAGAAGAACCACCAUUAGACUGACAAGGUCGUCAACACUUACAAGAGGAAUUUGAGAACGUCUUCAACAGAGAAUAUCAUCAAGGUAGUAGGACAAUUGGCACCAACUACAAGUGAAAGUGGAUCAAGCAGCAGUUAGGAUUGGAAGCAAGUUACGGAGUCUGCCGCCGUUUCAUUUAAUGAGCCAUGAUGACAACACAACCUUAAAGGAGACCAAGCUGUGGGGCGUAAGAUUCGAAGAGAGUGUCACUGAGAAGGUGGAGAUUGAAGCUCAUUUGUUGUUCAAUUUGCUAUAUCAUUUUAUGUUAGAUUAUUAAUGCUUCUUUCACUUUGUAGAUGAACUCUUUCUGAUUUUUGCUUUGUCUUUGCUCAUGUUAUGUGAAUUGUGUUAGUUUGUGUGAUGAUGUUUCUUGAGCUGAAGUUUCAUGGUUGUUGUUGAGAGACUACAAAUAUACAAUACCUGCAGGACCUUGAAAAUUUCA